rnacentral:rRNA from 1 species
AACGAACGCUGGCGGCGCGCCUAAUACAUGCAAGUCGAGCGAGAAGACGUAGCAAUACGUUUGUAAAGCGGCGAACGGGUGAGGAAUACAUGGGUAACCUACCCUCGAGUGGGGAAUAACUAGCCGAAAGGUUAGCUAAUACCGCGUACGCUCCUCGGACUUCGGUUCAGGGAGGAAAGCGAUACCGUGGGUAUCGCGCUCUUGGUUGGGCUCAUGUCCUAUCAGCUUGUUGGUGAGGAACGGCUCACCAAGGCUUCGACGGGUAGCUGGUCUGAGAGGACGAUCAGCCACACUGGCACUGCGACACGGGCCAGACUCCUACGGGAGGCAGCAGUAAGGAAUAUUGCGCAAUGGGCGAAAGCCUGACGCAGCGACGCCGCGUGGGGGAGU